rnacentral:rRNA from 1 species
CCUACGGGUGGCAGCAGUCGAGAAUCAUUCACAAUGGGGGAAACCCUGAUGGUGCGACGCCGCGUGGGGGAAUGAAGGUCUUCGGAUUGUAAACCCCUGUCAUGUGGGAGCAAAUUAAAAAGAUAGUACCACAAGAGGAAGAGACGGCUAACUCUGUGCCAGCAGCCGCGGUAAUACAGAGGUCUCAAGCGUUGUUCGGAAUCACUGGGCGUAAGGCGUGCGUAGGCUGUUUCGUAAGUCGUGUGUGAAAGGCGCGCGCUCAACCCGCGGACGGCACAUGAUACUGCGAGACUAGAGUAAUGGAGGGGGAACCGGAAUUCUCGGUGUAGCAGUGAAAUGCGUAGAUAUCGAGAGGAACACUCGUGGCGAAGGCGGGUUCCUGGACAUUAACUGACGCUGAGGCACGAAGGCCAGGGGAGCGAAAGGGAUUAGAUACCCGUGUAGUC